AGCGAACGCUGGCGGCAGGCCUAACACAUGCAAGUCGAACGAACCUUCCGGGGUUAGUGGCGGACGGGUGAGUAACACGUGGGAACGUGCACUUAGGUACGGUAUAAUUCAGUGAAACUUGUGUUAAUACCACAGGUGCCCUUAGCGGGUAAGAGCUAUCGCGUUUAGAGCGGCCGCCGUCUGGUUAGGUAGUUGGUUGUGGUAAUGGCUCAUCACGGCGAGGUUCAGUAGCUGGUGUGAUCGGAUGAUCAGCCACAUUGGGACUGAGACACGGCCUAAACUCGUACGGAAAGCUGCAGUGGGGAAUCUUGCGGAAUGGGCGAAAGCGUGACACAGCCAUGCCGCGUAAAAGAUGAAUGUCGUAGGAUUGUAAAUUUCUUUCAGCGGGGGCGAUAAUGACGGUACCCGGUAAAGAAGCCCCGGCUAACUUCGUG
rnacentral:rRNA from 1 species